rnacentral:lncRNA from 1 species
GGUAACACCAAGGACAGAGGGGGAGAUGGGCACAGGUGCCAUGAUCCGACCCUCAUGAGAUCACAGUGGUAACACCAAGGACAGUGGGGGAGAUGGGCACAGGCGCUGCGGCCCGACCCUCAUGAGAUCACAGUGGUAACACCAAGGACAGAGGGGGAGAUGGGCACAGGUGCCAUGAUCCGACCCUCAUGAGAUCACAGUGGUAACACCAAGGAGAGUGGGGGAGAUGGGCACAGGCGCUGUGGCCCGACCCUCAUGAGAUCACAGUGGUAACACCAAGGACAGAGGGGGCGAUGGGCACAGGUGCCAUGAUCCGACCCUCAUGAGAUCACAGUGGUAACACCAAGGACAGAGGGGGAGAUGGGCACAGGCGCUGCGGCCCGACCCUCAUGAGAUCACAGCGGUAACACCAAGGACAGAGGGGGCGAUGGGCACAGGUGCCAUGAUCCGACCCUCAUGAGAUCACAGUGGUAACACCAAGGACAGAGGGGGAGAUGGGCACAGGCACUGCGGCCCGAUCCUCAUGAGAAGUGGCGCAGUGUUACGUGAAGGACGACUAUGUGUGGUGAGUUAAAAAUGAUGUGGCUCUGACAGGCUCCUCGUGGAGCAGAGAUAACCAGCUCUCACAAGUCUUCAUCCUCCUGCCGCCGGGACCUUGGGGGUGAGCAGCCUGCCUGCUGAGGGCUUA